rnacentral:rRNA from 1 species
AAACCCUUACCGAAAGCAAUUGGAGGGCAAGUCUGGUGCCAGCAGCCGCGGUAAUUCCAGCUCCAAUAGCGUAUAUUAAAGUUGUUGCAGUUAAAAAGCUCGUAGUUGAAGUUCUGGCUGAUUGACCCUCGAGCUUCGUAGCCGAGGGCUCGUCAGUCAUCCGCUUGCAAAUAUAUGUUCGCCUUUAACCGGGCGGCUAUAUGAGUAAGCAAUUUACCUUGAGAAAAACAGAGUGUUCCAGGCAGGUUUGUCCGGAAUGCGUUAGCAUGGAAUAAUAGAAUAUGACUGAAGUCGAUUUAUUGGUUUGAGGCUUUAGUAAUGAUUAAUAGGAACAGUCGGGGGCAUUGGUACUUGACAGUCAGAGGUGAAAUUCUAGGAUUUGUCAAAGACUAACAAAUGCGAAAGCAUUUGCCAAGGAUGUUUUCAUUAAUCAAGAACGAAAGUUAGGGGAUCAAAGACGAUCAGAUACCGUCCUAGUCUUAACUAUAAACUAUACCGACUCGGAUUCAGAUGAAUCAUAAAGUUCAUUUGGGACCGUAGGAGAAAUCAAAGUUUUUGGGUUCUGGGGGAAGUAUGGUCGCAAGGCUGAAACUUAAAGGAAUUGACGGUUUUGCACCACCAUGGAGUGGAGUCUGCGGCUUAAUUUGACACAACACUGGGAAACUCAUCAGGGCAAGAAGAUUGUAGGAUUGACAGAUUGAGAGUUCUUUCUUGAUUGGUCUAGUGGUGGUGCAUGGCCGUUCUUAGUUGGUGGAGUGAUUUGUCUGGUUAAUUCCGUUAACGAACGAGACCUUAACCUGCUAACUAGUACACCGAUGACAAAUCGGCGAUACUUCUUAGAGGGACUAUGUGAUGUAAUCACAUGGAAGUUUGAGGCAAUAACAGGUCUGUGAUGCCCUUAGAUGUCCUGAGCUGCACGCGUACUACAAUGGUGCUUUCAACGAGCUUUUCCUGAUCCGAAAGGAUUUGGGUAAUCUUUUUAGUGAGCACCGUGCUUGGGAUUGAUCUUUGUAAUUAUGGAUCAUGAACUAGGAAUUCCUAGUAAGCACGUGUCAUCAGCACGUGCUGAUUACGUCCCUGCAAAAUGUACACACCGCCCGUCGCUAUUACCGAUUGAGUGUAAAGGUGAACCUUCUCGAUAGACGCAAGUUUAGAAAUUAAGUAAACCUUUGCACUUAGAGGAAAUAAAAGUCGUAACAAGGUUUCCGUAGGUGGACCUGCG